GACGAACGCUGGAGGCGUGCUUAACACAUGCAAGUCGAACGAUGAAAUGGAGCUUGCUCCAUGGAUUAGUAGCGAACGGGUGAGUAACACGUGAAUAACCUGCCCUUAAUUUUGGAAUAACCCAAGGAAACCUGGGCUAAUACCGGAUAAGUAAACCUGUGGCAUCACAUGGUUUUGGAAAGUUUUUCGAUCAAGGAUGGAUUCGCGGCCUAUCAGCUUGUUGGUGAGGUAAUGGCUCACCAAGGCGACGACGGGUAGCCGGCCUGAGAGGGUGAACGGCCACACUGGGACUGAGACACGGCCCAGACUCCUACGGGAGGCAGCAGUGGGGAAUAUUGCGCAAUGGACGAAAGUCUGACGCAGCGACGCCUCGUGAGGGACGAAGGUCUUCGGAUUGUAGACCUCUUUCAGCAGGGACGAAGCGAAAGUGACGGUACCUGCAGAAGAAGCACCGGCUAACUAUGUGCCAGCCGCCGCCGUAA
rnacentral:rRNA from 1 species